GCUUGGCCGGCUCAUUUGGUAGAGCAUGUGACUCUUGAUCUCAGGGUUAUGGGUUUGAGUCCCAAGUUAGGCA
rnacentral:tRNA from 1 species